CUCCGGUUGAUCCCGCCGGACCCGACUGCUAUCAGAGUGAGAUUAAGCCAUGCGAGUCAACGUAGCAAUACGUGGCACACGGCUCAGUAACACGUAGUCAACAUAACCAAAGGACGUGGAUAAACUCGGGAAACUGAGGCUAAACCGCGAUAGAUCAAGAUAUCUGGAAUGGUUUUUGAUCGAAAUCUAUAUGGCCUUUGGAUUGGACUGCGUCCGAUCAGGCUGUUGGUGAGGUAAUGGCCCACCAAACCUGUAACCGGUACGGGCUCUGAGAGGAGGAGCCCGGAGAUGGGUACUGAGAAAAGGACCCAGGCCCUAUGGGGCGCAGCAGGCGCGAAACCUCUGCAAUAGGCGAAAGCCUGACAGGGUUACUCUGAGUGACUUUCGCUAAGAAAGUCUUUUGACAUCUCUAAAAAUGGUGUAGAAUAAGGGGUGGGCAAGUCUGGUGUCAGCCGCCGCGGUAAUACCAGCACCCCGAGUGGUCGGGACGAUUAUUGGGCCUAAAGCAUCCGUAGCCGGUUUUACAAGUCCUCCGUUAAAUCCAGCUGCUUAACAGAUGGGCUGCGGAGGAUACUAUAAGACUAGGAGGCAGGAGAGGCAAGCGGUACUCAGUGGGUAGGGGUAAAAUCCGUUGAUCCAUUGAAGACCACCAGUGGCGAAGGCGGCUUGCCAGAAUGCGCUCGACGGUGAGGGAUGAAAGCUGGGGGAGCAAACCGGAUUAGAUACCCGGGUAGUCCCAGCUGUAAACGAUGCAGACUCGGUGAUGGACUAGCUUUAUGCUAGUCCAGUGCCGCAGGGAAGCCGUUAAGUCUGCCGCCUGGGUAGUACGGUCGCAAGACUGAAACUUAAAGGGAUUGGCGGGGGAGCA
rnacentral:rRNA from 1 species